ACAAAAUCCUUAAAUCAUGUAGAAAAGAAAAUUGGAAAAGAGAAUUGGAAAAGAGAAUUAUAUGUUGAAGAGGCCUAGCCAUGUGUCCCCAAAAAUUGAAGAAAUUGUCAAUGGAGGCAGGAAAUCAAAUUUAUCUGGGACUUUUGAUAGGUGAACUUGUUCUAUCCUUAUUGUCAUUUUCUAUUCCUGUCAUAUCGUAUCAGUUCGUCUAUAAACUAAUUAUUAAAACUAUUUUGGAGGACAUGCAUAUAUUCUAGUUAUUUAUUGUUAAUGUACCCUUAACAUCUUUGAGUUUCUCAAUUUGGUUCAUUUAUGAAUAUAUCCUUCAAUCUAUAUUUCAUGUUCAAAAAUUUUUUUGUUGUUGAUGAAAUAUAAUUUAAGAAUGAAUUCUCAUGUUCUUUUCAUUUUUGCUUUGGAGGCUUAAAUUUUGAUGACAAACUUUAUCAGCUGUUGGUCCAUUAGUAUGAAACAGAUUUUUACAUUUUUUGUGAAAUAAUAGGGAAGAAGAUAGGUCCAGGUUUUCAGCUAAUAUGGUCCUUGCACUGCAAGCAACUUCUUUUCGACCAGGUGACCUACAACUUCCCUUGUAAUGAGAGCAACAUCAGCUACUUGACUCUUCAUUCUGAUUGAUGCAGAAUCCACAUUAUAAAUAUCCAACAUGAUUUGCUCAUUCAAUGAAUGUAGCUAGGGCUGUGUAGUUUUCGGUGUGAACCGAAGAACCAAACCAAGCCAUUUCGGUUCAAUCGGUUCG
rnacentral:misc_RNA from 1 species